UUAGCAGAGAUGCUUUAGUGCCUUCGGGAACUCUGAGACAGGUGCUGCAUGGCUGUCGUCAGCUCGUGUUGUGAAAUGUUGGGUUAAGUCCCGCAACGAGCGCAACCCUUAUCCUUUGUUGCCAGCGACUCGGUCGGGAACUCAAAGGAGACUGCCGGUGAUAAACCGGAGGAAGGUGGGGAUGACGUCAAGUCAUCAUGGCCCUUACGAGUAGGGCUACACACGUGCUACAAUGGCGUAUACAAAGAGAAGCGACCUCGCGAGAGCAAGCGGAACUCAUAAAGUACGUCGUAGUCCGGAUUGGAGUCUGCAACUCGACUCCAUGAAGUCGGAAUCGCUAGUAAUCGUAGAUCAGAAUGCUACGGUGAAUACGUUCCCGGGCCUUGUACACACCGCCCGUCACACCAUGGGAGUGGGUUGCAAAAGAAGUAGGUAGCUUAACCUUCGGGAGGGCGCUUACCACUUUGUGAUUCAUGACUGGGGUGAAGUCGUAACAAGGUAACCGUAGGGGAACCUGCGGUUGGAUCACCUCCUUA
rnacentral:rRNA from 1 species